GUACCUAGGCUGUGGCCACGGACACAAAGGCCACCCAGGUCGCCCGCACUGGUCAUGCUGUGGGAAGUUUGCCGAGAAGUCGGAAUGCACGUGGACAGGUGGGCAGAACGCACCAAGGAGUCUCCUCAGGACCGUGGCACUCUGAUGCCUUCCUGGGUACGUGGCCAGCCCGUAAGCUGCAGCCAGUUCAACUUCCAAUUACCAGAGGACCCCAGACCUUGAUUAAUUCUGAAGAAGCGGAUAGAAUUAAAAACAGAGUGCCUUAUCUUAUACUCUCAAUUUCCAGUCCUUUCUUGUGAGUCACUCACUGAUGGAACGGAGCAAUCUACGCUGUUGGAACUUAGUGAUCACGGGGAGAGUUCAGUUCCUGACUUCUGGAUAUGUAACUCGUUUAUUUCUCCCUAAGCCACAUGUUUGCUGUUUCCCUCAAAGAAUUAAAAACUGCUUUUCAUCAUA